rnacentral:rRNA from 1 species
AUUGAACGCUGGCGGAAUGCUUUACACAUGCAAGUCGAACGGCAGCACGGACUUCGGUCUGGUGGCGAGUGGCGAACGGGUGAGUAAUACAUCGGAACGUGCCCAGUCGUGGGGGAUAACGUAGCGAAAGCUACGCUAAUACCGCAUACGAUCUAAGGAUGAAAGCGGGGGAUCGCGAGACCUCGCGCGAUUGGAGCGGCCGAUGGCAGAUUAGGUAGUUGGUGGGGUAAAGGCUCACCAAGCCGACGAUCUGUAGCUGGUCUGAGAGGACGACCAGCCACACUGGGACUGGGACACGGCCCAGACUCCUACGGGAGGCAGCAGUGGGGAAUUUUGGACAAUGGGCGCAAGCCUGAUCCAGCCAUUCCGCGUGCAGGAUGAAGGCCCUCGGGUUGUAAACUGCUUUUGUACGGAACGAAAAGGCUCUGGUUAAUACCCGGGGCUCAUGACGGUACCGUAAGAAUAAGCACCGGCUAACUACGUGCCAGCCGCCGCGGUAA